UACGAAGGGGGCUAGCGUUGUUCGGAAUUACUGGGCGUAAAGCGCACGUAGGCGGAUAUUUAAGUCAGGGGUGAAAUCCCGGGGCUCAACCUCGGAACUGCCUUUGAUACUGGGUAUCUUGAGUAUGGAAGAGGUAAGUGGAAUUGCGAGUGUAGAGGUGAAAUUCGUAGAUAUUCGCAGGAACACCGAGGUGGAGGAGGGCGCUUG
rnacentral:rRNA from 1 species